rnacentral:lncRNA from 1 species
UGAACAUUGCCACUAUGGUCACGCCUGACGAAGCUCCAGCGACACCGAGGUUGAAUCGGACACAAUUCCAACGUACACUGCCGCUGGCCCACAACCCCGAGGAAAUUGUAUGGACCGAUGGCUCGGUAUCCAAGACAACGACUGAAAACGGUAGAGAACUACAAGUGGCUGGGGCUUGUGCUUGGCAUAAAGACCGUGUUGUCUACGUAAACCCAAAUGGAUUUGGCUGCACUAACACUAUUACACGCGCCGAGCUCGCUGCAAUUCGUGCAGCCCUGGAAGAAUUCGGAGGUGAAACUAGUAUGUUCGCGAAGAAAACGCUAACCAUUGCCAGUGACUCAGCUGCAAGCUUG